rnacentral:rRNA from 1 species
GGUUCGAUCCUGGCUCGAUUGAACGCUGGCGGGAUGUUUUACACAUGCAAGUCGAACGGCAGCACGGACUUCGGUCUGGUGGCGAGUGGCGAACGGUGAGUAAUGUAUCGGAACGUGUCAGUAGCGGGGAUAAUCAUGCGAAAGCGUAGCUAAUGAAUGCAUACUCCUUCGGGGGAAAGCGGGGACCUUUCGGGCCUCGCACUAUUGUAGAGCGGCCGGAUAUCGGAUUAGCUAGUUGUGUGGGUAACGGCUCACCAAGGCGACGCGAUCCGUGCUGCUUUUGAGGACGACCAGCCACUGGGACUGAGACACGGCCCAGACCCUACGGGAGGCAGCAGUGGGGAAUUUUGGACAAUGUGGAAACUCCUGAUCCAGCCAUCCCGCGUGUGCGAUGAAGGCCUUCGGGUUGUAAAGCACUUUUGGCAGGAAAGAAACGGCACGGGAUAAUACCCGUGCAACUGACGGUACUCGUGGAGAAUGGGCACCGGCUAACUACGUGCCAGCAGCCGCAGGUAAUACGUAGGGUGUUGCUAAUCGGAAUUACUGGGCGUAAAGCGUGCGCAGGCGGUUCGGAAAGAAAGAUGUGAAAUCCCAGAGUUUAACUUUGGAACUGCAUUUUUAACUAACGAGCUAGAGUGUGUCAGAGGAGGUGGAAUUCCGCGUGUAGCAGUGAAAAUGCGUAGAUAUGCGGAGGAAAAUUCACCGAUGGCGAAGGCAGCCUCCUGGGAUAACACUGACGCUCAUGCACGAAAGCGUGGGGAGCAAACAGGAUUAGAUACCCUGGUAGUCCACGCCCUGUAACGAUGUCAUAAUCAGCUGUUAAGCCUUUCGGCCCGGUAGCGCAGCUAACGCGAAGUUGACCGCCUGGGGAGUACGGUCGCAAGAUUAAAACUCAAAGGAAUUGACGGGGACCCGCACAAGCGGUGGAUGAUGUGGAUUACCCGAUGCAACGCGAAAAACCUUACCUACCCUUGACAUGUCUGGAAUCCCAAAGAGAUUUGGGGAAUGCUCGCAAGAGAACCGGAACACAGGCGUUGCAUGGCUGUCGUCAUUUCCGUAAGUCGUGAGAUGUGUUGGGUUAAGUCCCGUAACGAGCGCAACCCUUGUCAUUAGUUGCUACGAAAGGGCACUCUAAUGAGACUGCCGGUGACAAAACCGAGGAAGGUGGGGAUGACGUCAAGUCCUCAUGGCCCUUAUGGGUAGGGCUUCACGUCAACCGAAUGGUCGGGGACAGAGGGUCGCCAACCCGCGAGGGAGCCAAUCCCAGAAACCCGAUCGUAGUCCGAUCGCAGUUCGCAACUCCACUGCAAGAAGUCGGAAUCGCUGGGGUAAUCGCGGAUCAGCAUGUCGCGGUGAAUACGUUCCCGGGUCUCUGCACACACCGCCCGUCACACCAUGGGAGUGGGUUUUACCAGAAGUAGUUAGCCUAACCGUAAGGAGGGCGAUUACCACGGUAGACUAUAUGACUGGGGUGAAGUCGUAACAAGGUAACUCGCUGGCCACCUACGCUCCCA